CAAGACCUUGCGCCUUUGGAGCGGCCGAUGUCUGAUUAGCUAGUUGGUGGGGUAAUGGCUUACCAAGGCUUCGAUCAGUAGCUGGUCUGAGAGGACGACCAGCCACACUGGGACUGAGACACGGCCCAGACUCCUACGGGAGGCAGCAGUGGGGAAUUUUGGACAAUGGGGGAAACCCUGAUCCAGCCAUGCCGCGUGAGUGAAGAAGGCCUUCGGGUUGUAAAGCUCUUUCAGCCGGAACGAAAAGGUCACGGCUAAUACCCGUGACAAAUGACGGUACCGGAAGAAGAAGCACCGGCUAACUACGUGCCAGCAGCCGCGGUAAUACGUAGGGUGCAAGCGUUAAUCGGAAUUACUGGGCGUAAAGCGUGCGCAGGCGGUUUUGUAAGUCAGAUGUGAAAUCCCCGGGCUUAACCUGGGAACU
rnacentral:rRNA from 1 species